rnacentral:misc_RNA from 1 species
GAUGAAGAACGCAGCGAAAUGCGAUAAGUAAUGUGAAUUGCAGAAUUCAGUGAAUCAUCGAGUCUUUGAACGCACAUUGCGCCCCCUGGUAUUCCGGGGGGCAUGCCUGUCCGAGCGUCAUUGCUGCCCUCAAGCACGGCUUGUGUGUUGGGCUCCGUCCCCCCGGGGACGGGCCCGAAAGGCAGCGGCGGCACCGAGUCCGGUCCUCGAGCGUAUGGGGCUUUGUCACCCGCUCUGUAGGCCCGGCCGGCGCCAGCCGACAACCCAUCAUCCUUUUCAGGUUGACCUCGGAUCAGGUAGGGAUACCCGCUGAACUUAAGCAUAUCAAUAAGCGGAGGA